UUAUGUAUUAGUAAAAUUAAAUAAUAAAUACAUCAUUAAUCUAGAAAUUAAAAGUUGAAGAGCUUACAUUAAUUAUUCAGUGGACACAUGGCAAAUGUUAAAGUGAUGAUAUAUCAAUCAUAUGGAGAGAGUUGGUCAACUUUCAUAUAUAUGAUUAUAAAAACUAUUAUAUAUACGUUUUUACUGUAGAUAAUUCUUUCUGAUAAAAAUAUAAUAUUUUUAUGCUCAUACAAUCUGUAUAGUA
rnacentral:sRNA from 1 species